rnacentral:misc_RNA from 1 species
GAAAUGCGAUAAUUAGUGUGAAUUGCAGAAUUCAGUGAAUCAUCGAAACCUUGAACGCAAACUGCGCUCUUUGGUCUACCAAAGAGCAUGCCUGUUUGAGUGUCGACUUUACACUCUCUCCUCCUCCCCACCUCUCUCGAAAGAGGGAUGGAUGCAAGGGGGGACGGAGAGGAACCUGAGCGUUGCGAAGGAGGGGAAAUCCCCCCUCGCAUCGCUUGAAAUCGAGCGAGAUCGGGACGGUAUUUCUGGUGAGAGAUCAUCGCGGCGCUUUGAGACCCCUAAAUAAGGUCUUCCCUUUCGCCACGAACCUCGCCUCCGAUGUUGCCGAGCAUCCCAGAUCCACAGGAGAGGAAACAAAAAACAACUUCGACCUCAAAUCAGGUAAGACUACCCGCUGAAU